rnacentral:rRNA from 1 species
UCCUCCAAGGCUAAAUACUCCUGACUGACCGAUAGUGAACCAGUACCGUGAGGGAAAGGCGAAAAGAACCCCGGCGAGGGGAGUGAAAAAGAACCUGAAACCGUGUACGUACAAGCAGUGGGAGCACAGGUUUACCUGUGUGACUGCGUACCUUUUGUAUAAUGGGUCAGCGACUUAUAUUCUGUAGCAAGGUUAACCGAAUAGGGGAGCCGGAGGGAAACCGAGUCUUAAUUGGGCGUUAAGUUGCAGGGUAUAGACCCGAAACCCGGUGAUCUAGCCAUGGGCAGGUUGAAGGUUGGGUAACACUAACUGGAGGACCGAACCGACUAAUGUUGAAAAA